rnacentral:rRNA from 1 species
ACGGGGCGCAGCAGGGGCGAAACCUUCACAAUGUGCGAAAGCACGAUGAGGGGAUCCCAAGUGCUUGCUCGUAAGAGUAAGCUGUUUUUAUGUCUAAAAAGCAUAGAGAGUAAGGGCUGGGUAAGACGGGUGCCAGCCGCCGCGGUAAUACCUGCAGCUCAAGUGGUGACCGCUAUUAUUGGGCCUAAAACGUUCGUAGCCGGUUUGGUAAAUGCCUGGGUAAAUCGUGUAGCUUAACUAUACGGAUUCCGGAUAGACUGCCAAACUUGAGACCGGGAGAAGCUAGAGGUACUCCUGGGGUAGAGGUGAAAUUCUGUAAUCCUGGGGGGACCACCAGUGGCGAAGGCGUCUAGCUAGAACGGGUCUGACGGUGAGGGACGAAAGCUAGGGGAGCAAACCGGAUUAGAUACCCGGGUAGUCCAGGGUGUAAACGCUGCUUGCUUGAUGUUAGUUGGGCUCCGAGCCCAAUUAGUGUCGGAGAGAAGUUGUUAAGCAAGCUGCCUGGGAAGUACGAUCGCAAGAUUGAAACUUAAAGGAAUUGGCGGGGGAGCAC